UACGGAAGGGGCGAGCGUUGUUCGGAAUCAUUGGGCGUAAAGGGCGCGUAGGUGGUUCUGUAUGUCUACCGUGAAAGCGUACGGCUCAACCGUAUUUUGUCGGUAGAAACUGCAGGACUUGAGGCUGGGAGGGGCUGGUGGAAUUCCCUGUGUAGCGGUGAAGUGCGUAGAGAUAGGGGAGAACACUCGUGGCGAAGGCGGCUCUCUGGGGUGCACCUGACGCUGAUGCGCGAAAGCGUGGGGAGCGAACCGG
rnacentral:rRNA from 1 species